ACGGCGGGCGCAAGCGUUAAUCGGAAUCACUGGGCGUAAAGCGCGCGUAGGCGGUUUGAUAAGUCAGGCGUGAAAGCCCUCGGCUCAACCGGGGAACUGCGGUUGAUACUGUCUAACUUGAGUGCCGGAGAGGGUGGCGGAAUUCCAGGUGUAGGAGUGAAAGCCGGAGAUAUGUGGAGGAACACCGAUGGCGAGGGCAGCCAACUGGACGGCAACUGAUGCUAAGGCGCGUAUGCGUGGCUUACAAACAG
rnacentral:rRNA from 1 species